rnacentral:tRNA from 1 species
AGUUAAUGAUCUUGAAAUUAAGUAUAUGUUUUGAAAACAUA